rnacentral:snoRNA from 1 species
UUGCGAAUACAUUCUCGCUGUCCUGAUAUUUCAGUGAUCAGGGCAGGCUAGACAUUCGCUAUAUUAUCACUGUGCAGUGUGUCUCCAGGGCAAGUUUGUCUCCCUAGUUCUGGUUUUUAACUGCAAGUAACAUUC